UACAGAGGGUGCGAGCGUUAAUCGGAAUUACUGGGCGUAAAGCGCGCGUAGGCGGCUUUGCAAGUCGGAUGUGAAAUCCCCAGGCUUAACCUGGGAACUGCAUUCGAGACUGCAUUGCUAGAGUAUGGGAGAGGGAAGUGGAAUUUCCGGUGUAGCGGUGAAAUGCGUAGAUAUCGGAAGGAACAUCAGUGGCGAAAGCGACUUCCUGGACCAAUACUGACGCUCAGGCACGAAAGCGUGGGGAGCAAACAGG
rnacentral:rRNA from 1 species